CUGGAGGUAUCAGAAGUGCGAAUGCUGACAUAAGUAACGAUAAAGCGGGUGAAAAGCCCGCUCGCCGGAAGACCAAGGGUUCCUGUCCAACGUUAAUCGGGGCAGGGUGAGUCGACCCCUAAGGCGAGGCCGAAAGGCGUAGUCGAUGGGAAACGGGUUAAUAUUCCCGUACUUGGUGUUACUGCGAAGGGGGGACGGAGAAGGCUAUGUUGGCCGGGCGACGGUUGUCCCGGUUUAAGCGUGUAGGCUGGUUUUCCAGGCAAAUCCGGAAAAUCAAGGCUGAGGCGUGACGACGAGGCACUACGGUGCUGAAGCAACAAAUGCCCUGCUUCCAGGAAAAGCCUCUAAGCAUCAGGUAACAUCAAAUCGUACCCCAAACCGACACAGGUGGUCAGGUAGAGAAUACCAAGGCGCUUGAGAGAACUCGGGUGAAGGAACUAGGCAAAAUGGUGCCGUAACU
rnacentral:rRNA from 1 species